rnacentral:rRNA from 1 species
CCUACGGGUGGCAGCAGUCGAGAAUCAUUCACAAUGGGGGAAACCCUGAUGGUGCGACGCCGCGUGGGGGAAUGAAGGUCUUCGGAUUGUAAACCCCUGUCAUGUGGGAGCAAAUUAAAAAGAUAGUACCACAAGAGGAAGAGACGGCUAACUCUGUGCCAGCAGCCGCGGUAAUACAGAGGUCUCAAGCGUUGUUCGGAAUCACUGGGCGUAAAGCGUGCGUAGGCUGUUUCGUAAGUCGUGUGUGAAAGGCGCGGGCUCAACCCGCGGACGGCACAUGAUACUGCGAGACUAGAGUAAGGGAGGGGGAACCGGAAUUCUCGGUGUAGCAGUAAAAUGCGUAGAUAUCGAGAGGAACACUCGUGGCGAAGGCGGGUUCCUGGACAUUAACUGACGCUGAGGCACGAAGGCCGGGGGAGCGAAAGGGAUUAGAUACCCUAGUAGUC